rnacentral:rRNA from 1 species
UCCAGAUGUCUCAAGCGUUGUUCGGAUUCAUUGGGCGUAAAGGGUGCGUAGUUGGCGCGGUAAGUCGGGUGUGAAAUUUCGGAGCUUAACUCCGAAACUGCAUUCGAUACUGCCGUGCUUGAGGACUGGAGAGGAGACUGGAAUUUACGGUGUAGCGGUGAAAUGCGUAGAUAUCGUAAGGAAGACCAGUGGCGAAGGCGGGUCUCUGGACAGUUCCUGACGCUGAGGCACGAAGGCCAGGGGAGCAAACGGG